rnacentral:rRNA from 1 species
AACGUACGCUGGCGGCACGCCUAACACAUGCAAGUCGAACGCAGUAGCAAUACUGAGUGGCAGACGGGUGAGUAACAUGUGGGAAUCUGCCUUGUGGUUCAGGACAACAUUGGGAAACCGAUGCUAAUACUGGAUAAGACCUUACGGGGAAAGUUUUAAUGCCAUAAGAUGAGCCCGCAUUUGAUUAGUUAGUUGGUGAGGUAAUGGCUCACCAAGACAAUGAUCAAUAGCUGAUCUGAGAGGAUGAUCAGCCACACUGGGACUGAGACACGGCCCAGACUCCUACGGGAGGCAGCAGUGGGGAAUCUUGCACAAUGGAGAAAACUCUGAUGCAGCGAUGCCGCGUGAGUGAAGAAGGCCUUUGGGUUGUAAAGCUCUUUUGUAGGGGAAGAUAAUGACUGUACCCUAAGAAUAAGGUCCGGCUAACUUCGUGCCAGCCGCCGCCGUAA